UGCAUAUCAAUAAGCGGAGGAAAAGAAACCAACAGGGAUUACCUCAGUAACGGCGAGUGAAGCGGUAACAGCUCAAAUUUGAAAUCUGGCCGCAAGGUCCGAGUUGUAAUUUGUAGAGGAUGUUUCGAGCAUGGUCUGGCCUAAGUUCCUUGGAACAGGACGUCAUAGAGGGUGAGAAUCCCGUAUGCGGUCAGGUGCCUACGCUCAUGUGAAACUCCUUCGACGAGUCGAGUUGUUUGGGAAUGCAGCUCAAAAUGGGUGGUAAAUUUCAUCUAAAGCUAAAUAUUGGCCAGAGACCGAUAGCGCACAAGUAGAGUGAUCGAAAGAUGAAAAGCACUUUGGAAAGAGAGUUAAACAGUACGUGAAAUUGUUGAAAGGGAAGCGCUUGCAACCAGACUUGCGCGCGGCUGAUCAUCCGGGCUUCUGCCCGGUGCACUCGGUCGCGCUCAGGCCAGCAUCGGUUUUGGUGGCGGGAUAAAGGCCUUGGGAAUGUAGCUCCUCUCGGGGAGUGUUAUAGCCCAGGGUGCAAUGCCGCCUACCGGGACCGAGGACCGCGCUUCGGCUAGGAUGCUGGCGUAAUGGUUGUAAGCGACCCGUCUUGAAACACGGACCA
rnacentral:rRNA from 1 species